AUUGAACGCUGGCGGCAGGCCUAACACAUGCAAGUCGAACGGUAGAACAGAGAGCUUGCUCUCGGGUGACGAGUGGCGGAUGGGUGAGUAAUGUCUGGGAAACUGCCCGAUGGAGGGGGAUAACUACUGGAAACGGUAGCUAAUACCGCAUAACGUCUUCGGACCAAAGUGGGGGACCUUCGGGCCUCACCCCAUCGGAUGGGCCCAGAUGGGAUUAGCUAGGAGGUGGGGUAAUGGCUCACCUAGGCGACGAUCCCUAGCUGGUCUGAGAGGAUGACCAGCCACACUGGAACUGAGACACGGUCCAGACUCCUACGGGAGGCAGCAGUGGGGAAUAUUGCACAAUGGGCGCAAGCCUGAUGCAGCCAUGCCGCGUGUAUGAAGAAGGCCUUCGGGUUGUAAAGUACUUUCAGCGGGGAGGAAGGCGAUGUGGUUAAUAACCGCAUCGAUUGACGUUACCCGCAGAGGAAGCACUGGCUAACUCCGUGCCAGCCGCCGCGGUAACAC
rnacentral:rRNA from 1 species